GAUCCUGGCUCAGAACGAACGCUGGCGGCGCGUUUAAGCAUGCAAGUCGAGCGGCAAGGGCCUUCGGGCCCCUAGAGCGGCAGACGGGUGAGUAACACGUGGACAAUCUGCCCCCCGGCCCGGGAUAGCCCAGGGAAACCUGGAUUAAUACCGGAUGAGACGGGACCCGCGAUGGCGGGACCCGGGAAAGGCGCUGCGGCGCCGCCGGGGGAUGAGUCUGCGUCCCAUUAGCUAGACGGCGGGGUAACGGCCCACCGUGGCGACGAUGGGUAGCCGGCCUGAGAGGGUGGACGGCCACAUUGGAACUGAGACACGGUCCAGACUCCUACGGGAGGCAGCAGCUAAGAAUCUUCCGCAAUGGGCGAAAGCCUGACGGAGCCGACGCCGCGUGAACGAAGAAGGCCGUGAGGUUGUAAAGUUCUUUUCGGGAGGGGGAACAACCGUGGCAGGGAAUGGCCGCGGGAUGACGUGAAUCCCGGAAUAAGCCCCGGCUAACUACGUGCCAGCCGCUGC
rnacentral:rRNA from 1 species